rnacentral:rRNA from 1 species
GACGAACGCUGGCGGCGUGCUUAACACAUGCAAGUCGAGCGGUAAGGCCCUUUCGGAGGUACACGAGCGGCGAACGGGUGAGUAACACGUGGGUGACCUGCCCUUAGCUCUGGGAUAAGCCUGGGAAACUGGGUCUAAUACCGGAUAUGACUCCAUAACGCAUGUUGUGGGGUGGAAAGCCUUGUGCGGCUAGGGAUGGGCCCGCGGCCUAUCAGCUUGUUGGUGGGGUGAUGGCCUACCAAGGCGACGACGGGUAGCCGGCCUGAGAGGGCGACCGGCCACACUGGGACUGAGACACGGCCCAGACUCCUACGGGAGGCAGCAGUGGGGAAUCUUGCGCAAUGGGCGAAAGCCUGACGCAGCGACGCCGCGUGGGGA